CCUGGACGGUGGACCUGAACUGCGUGGCUGUUCCAUGCCGUCGCGGAUGGACGUCAGAGCCAUGGCUCGAGUCGUCAGCGAAUUUCCGAUCCGUUAAUCAAUCCUGCUGACGACGUCAUUUGCAGUGCAGUAAAUGCAAAAUUGGGUGGGUGGGUCGAGUUGUCUCAUGCCUCCGCCAGUUGCUGGUUUGGUCUGGUAGCAUCGAGAACGGCUCGGCGACGGCAGAUCCAUCCCUUAGGGUUCCGGUGACCUGGCUCCGGCGGCCAUGGAGUUCUUGAUGCAGCCGGUCAACAGUAGAACGCUCAUAGAGGUAGUGAAUGACAGUGACAUACCAAUGGAGCCUCUUCGCUAUCUUGUUCUCUCGAUGCCGGCCGGGGAGUUGCCGACGGCGAGUGCAUCGAGUGCAGAUGCGCUCAUCUGCUCGGCGAGUGCUGUGGCAACAGGUGAGGGUGCAGACCAGCCAUAAGCUUCUGAACACUCUAUAGAACAAGUUGAUCCACAGGCACCAGGAUGGACACGAAGGUAUGGUUGCCUGCCACAGCCUGUAGAUAUUAGCUAAGUUGCUAGAUUAGUAGAGUUGUUGAAAUUGGAUUCAGCACGGGGAUGCAGGUUGUUUUUGUAUGGACUGGAUAAGUAGUCAUGUUUGCCGUCAGGGAACCCCUUGAGUAAACUAGUUCAGAUAAGUGAAAACAGAGUAUGCAGGGGCUGUAUUAGAGUGUGGUCGCAUGAAGCCCAUGGAAUGAAUGCACAAUGGAGUGGUGAAUAAAGAUAGGAUCAAGAAAAGAUACGUUUGCAAACUGUAUGAAUAAAAAUGGCAGGGAUUCUGUUAGAGUAAACUGCUCUUAUUUUAGCAUCCGUGAAUCUAAUUGCAAUUGCACAUUUAUGGCACCUCAAAAUUCAGGGUCCGGAUUGGAGCUGCUGCGCCAGGACGUGCCCCCAACCCGGAUAGGAUGACAACAUUAGAGAAAUCGGUCCGCGUGUUUGCGGAGGCACCCGGUGAGAAUGUCAUUGUGCCAAAAAUAGGGAUCAGCUUCGAUACACUUGGAGAGGCCUAUGAUUUCUACAACUUGUAUUCCUAGGAGAAAGGAUUUGGAACUAGAUAUGGAAAGAGCAAACUAAAUGUCAACAGGACAAAGUGCAUGCAAGAGAUAGUCUGCGGUUGUGCGGAUAAACCAAUUGUGGGGAAUACUCGUUCCUGCCAAUGUGAAUGUCCUGCCUUAGUGAGACUGCUACGGUCAAAGGAUAAUGGGUGGUAUAUAACAGAGCACUGGGACGAGCACAACCACUCAUUGUCUCCGACAUAUGGGCAGACAUUAUACUGGCCAUCUCACAAACAUAUCAACGUAUACAGCUGAGAUUUUGGUGAAGCAGCUGAGGGGAAAUAAUGUGAACCUGUCGAAAGUAUACAACAUCAUAGGGAGCUUUUUUGGGAAGAUGGAGAAUGUACCGUUCACGAAACGAGCUUUGCGGAACUUGUGUGGGAAAAUUGGCCGUGACAAGGCAGAGGAUGAUGUUCGGAAGACAAUGGAGGUAUUUCAAGAGCUAGGUGCUAAGGAUCAGCAAUUCUCACAUUCUCACAUUUAUCGUGUUAUCAGACAAUUAUUGGCCAUAUGCAGCUGCAGGUCAAUAACGUCGGUCAUUUGACGGUGCCGGCCCCGGUGCUCCUUGCCGCUAGUCGGUGUCGACAUUUGCAGCUUUUGGGGAGAAGAGUAGCGAAGCAUCGAGGGACGCGUUCAACAUCGAGAAAGUAGGCGAAAGUGCUCUUGGGAGCCCGAGCUCACAUGCACCCUUUGCUACAGUAAAAUUGAAAAAAUAUUUAAAAAGCUCAAAAAAAUCUGAAUGUUUUUGACAACAAACAUUGAUGUAUUUUUCACAUGCGUGCAAAAAAUCAUGACAAAAAGACAUUCAUGCAGGUCUCGGUGAAAAAAAACGAUGCUCCAAAAUGCUUCCAAAAACAGUUUUUUUUUCAUGAUUUUGUCUUUUUUGUCUAGGCCUCCAUAAAUGUCAUUUGAUCACGAAAAUUGGCACGCAUGUGUAACACACAUCAAUAUUUGUUGCCAAAAAAAUUCAGAUUUUUUUGAACUUUUAAAAUAUAUUUUUUCGAUUUUACUGUAGCAAAGGGUGCAUGUGAACUCGAGCUCACAUACUCCAUGUCCGAAAGUAGGCAUGAAGAAUGCAUGCUUCCUUACAUGGGAUUCCCUGCUUCUUCAUGCCUGACAAUUGCUUCCUACCACAACUGCGCCCGUGCACGAGGACAUUAGACAUGUCAAGUCUUCCUGUGGCCCUAACUAGCCACCACACUCCAGCUACGUCGGUCUGAUCUCAUCAUUGUCUCUCAGAUCUCAUCGACGCUAUUCCUUGAAGAGACCCCUCUUUGGAUGGUGCUCAUGCUCUAGUAGGGGCUUCGUCCCGUUGUGCUUCGAUGUCUACAUCUUGUUGUAUGGAAGCAAAGUCCAAUCUAUAUUGGAAGGUUUCUUUCUUUGGAAGCAAAGUAUGAUAUCAUUUAGAAGCAAUGUUGAUGGAAGCAUACAUCAAUCAGAAGGUUGGACAUUGAAAAUAUGUAU